AAAAUGAGCACUUUGUUGGAGAUCCGUUGUUAGAUUCAAGAGUCAGCCGCGCAAGUUUAAAGAGAAGCUGGAAAGCCUGUGAGAAGGUACAACACUUGCCGGACAGCAAGUGACAAGUCAACAUGGUGCAAGUCUGGCUGAUUACACCCUUCUUGGUGCAGAGUUAUCAUGGCACAGCUGAAGCACGACUAACCAAAGGUCUCACUAAAAGGAGCUGAGCUCAAGACAGCUCUGCAGGAGGAGAGAACACAGUUCCAAGUUUGUCUGCAGUUUCCCAAAAGCUUCCAGUGAUCCUCUUCACCCUCGUGUCCUGCAAUCGUCUAUUCCACUGACUAUGCAUCUUCUACUUUAUAUAAAUAUUUUCUUAUCAUUGGACAGUUAAUGUAUCAAUUACCUGUACUUCUGAACUGAUUAACUAGGUUUUUGUUCUUGUUGUUCUAAUAAGUAAAGUAUUUACUAAAACAUU